UACGUAGGCAGCAAGCGUUGUUCGGAAUUACUGGGCGUAAAGGGCUCGUAGGUGGCCAACUAAGUCAGACGUGAAAUCCCUCGGCUUAACCGGGGAACUGCGUCUGAUACUGGAUGGCUUGAGUUCGGGAGAGGGAUGCGGAAUUCCAGGUGUAGCGGUGAAAUGCGUAGAUAUCUGGAGGAACACCGGUGGCGAAGGCGGCAUCCUGGACCGACACUGACACUGAGGAGCGAAAGCCAGGGGAGCAAACGGG
rnacentral:rRNA from 1 species